rnacentral:tRNA from 1 species
GCCCGUUGUGGUGUAAUGGUAAAACACACGAUAUCUCCAAAAUGAGAGCGCAAACAAUGUGGGUUCAAAUCCCACCCAACAGGCG